GUUAAUCAAUGCUGAACUACAAGCUACCUGAGUGGCCUCACCUCCUCACCCUCAUACUGGUCCCUUUACCUGCAAGAUCUUCCUCCCCUCAGUCUCCCUAUAUCCCAAUCUCUCCAUCUUUCAAGGAGCAGUCUGAAGUCACCUGCCAGAACCAUCCCAAAGCAGGGUAUAUUCCCUCUGGUAUCACUGCCCAUGCCUCUUCAAGUCCCUGAGCCCUUCCUGCCUGAUCUGUGCAUCGUGUCGAGAGAUCUGACUACAGAUGAACAGAGAUGCUGCGGUCUGUCUUCAUCUGCACAUGUUCAUAGAAAAAGCGAAAAGGAGAAGGGCAAAGGUUCCCCCAAUUAGAGUUUCCUUAUGCUGAAGGAGAGGAGAUACUCAGAAGGAACAGAUGGCCUAGGCGCUAUUUGGAAAUCCUCAGAACUACAAUUUUCCCCCAGAGGAAUGUAUUGACUGAGAGGCACAGAUGAAGCGAAACUGCGGAGCAAGCCUCGGCACCUGGGAGCCAUGGGGCAGCCCGUGGGGUUUGGGCCAUUUAGACUUCUUCUCAGGUAUAAAUUGUCCAGCACUAUAUAGUUUGUUUGAAAUAUACUUUUGUAUGUACUUUUCCACUUAAUCCUCAUAAUGAGUGUGAAAGCGUGGAUUAUGAUAAAGAAAUAUGGUACCUUACAUGGCAAAAGAGACCUUGACAGGUAUGACUAAGGUGAAGGACCUUGAAAUGGGGGGAUUAUACUGGAUUAUUCUUGUGGGCCUAAUCUAAUUACAUGCAUCCUGAAAAGCAGAGAACCGUUCUUGUCUGCAGAAAGCCAAAGAGAUGGUUGCUGAGGCUGCUAUAACAAAAUGCCAUAAACUGGCUGGUUUCUAAAAAACAGAAGUUUAUUUCUCACAGUUCUGGAGGCUGGGAAGUCUAUACAGUAUUAUCAGAAAAGCAAUUUUCUCCUUCUCCUGAUCUUAGCUUAACAAAUGACCCAAAAACUUUUAGAAAUUUAAAACAACAAACAUUUAUCAUACAGUUUCUGAGGGUCAGGAAUCCAAGAGUGGCUUAGUUAGGUGCUUCUGGCUCUGGGCCUCUCACGGGGCUGCAGAUAAGGUGUCGGCCAGGGCUGCAUCAUCUAAGGCUUGACUAGGCUGCAGAACCUGUAUCCAUGCUCACUCAUGCGCCUGAUGGCUGGAGGCCUCAGUUUCUCACCACACGGGCCUCUCCAUAGGACUGCUCAUGGCAUGGCUAAUGAUCAGAAACAAAUGUCAAACUGAAGAGCUUGAA
rnacentral:lncRNA from 10 species